rnacentral:RNase_P_RNA from 1 species
AGUCUCGAGUAGUCGCGGUUAGCAUCUGCUAGCUGAGGAAAGUCCACGCACGCACAAGCUGCGAUGCUUGUAGUGUUCGUAUUCAGCCUAAUAAGCUGGAGGAAGUUCUUAGGAACUUGACGGCGGAAAAAACGCUAAAUCUUUUUAGACAUGCGUGAAUAUCCUGGAAGUGCCACAGUGACGGAGCAAACUUGGAAACGAGUUUGGUGGAACGAGGUAAACCCUGCGAGCGUGUAACCCAAAUUUGGUAGGGGCAUCUCGACUUAAGGAAUUGAACGAUGAGUCGGAUUAUUUUUAAUAAAGAUAGAUGACUACUGAAGAUAAGUUUGCCAAACUUAUUGGAACAAAACGUGGCUUAUAGAA